AGUAAAAUAUUAUUCUGAAGACAUUAUAAGUCGGAAGCAGGACGGUAAUUAAGCAGGACGGGAAGCAAGCACGACGGGAAAACCCGAAGUUGGGCGAAAACCCUAAUUUCGGUAUUACGAAAUUCUUUGAGGAAGCCGGAGGCUCGGAAAAUAUUUUUAAAGGAUAUCAGACAUCAUCUGUAGUUGGGAAGCAAGCACGACGGGAUUGAAGCACGACGGGAAAACCCGAAGUUG
rnacentral:lncRNA from 1 species